UCAUGUUUCUUCAAAUCCAUAUCCCGCAUUCUCCGUCGAAGCACACAACUACCAUCGUUACCAGGAGUGCUUGAUUUUCGCUGUGAUCAACCCUAGGUGCGGAACUUUAGAGACUGAAGUCAUCGACUGGGGAGGGAUUUGCAGGACGCCUCAACUUUGUACGAAUAUGAGUUUAGGGCGAAGGAGAAAAAGUAGACUGAUCGAUAACUCAUGGGUAUACAAUUGGACAAAAAAGAAGCCUGAAUGCAUAACUAUUAACGAUGACGGGCAUAGUUGCAAGUCUGCCCACGUUGUUUCAAAGGGUACUUUGCUUAAGAAAAAAGUACGUGGAAGCGUGAUUGGCAUGCUAUUAAGGUCCAAAAACAAAAAAGAGGCAUUUGGCGUUGCAGAAGAUGGUCAAUUUCAGCAAAAUAAAGUUGUUGGGAGAUUAACGAUUUUAGCACUAGAAAAUAUAUUCCUAACGUGUUCCACGAUUGUAAGACUUUAUGUUUAGUUGCUACAUUAGAUUAUUUGGAAAUAUAUUUUGUUAUGAAAUUACAAUUUUGGUUGUGGGAAUUUAGAACAUGGGGAUACACAUUUCUAGCGGGUUGUUUAUAUGAAUUUAAAACUUUGUGUUUGCUAAUGAAAGUGCCCAGAGUUGUGGUACUGCACUUAGUU